rnacentral:rRNA from 1 species
GAUGAACGCUGGCGGCGUGCCUAACACAUGCAAGUCGAGCGAACAGACGAGGAGGGUUCUCCACUAACGUUAGCGGCGGAAGGGCGAGUAAGACAUGUAUAACCAACCUAUAAAACUGGGAGAAAUUCGGGAAACCGUAGCGAAUACCGGCUAAUAUAUUAAACAGCAUGGUUCAAUAGUGAAAGAGGGUUUUGCUGUCACUGAUAGAUGGAUUCGCGCCGGAUUAGCUAGUUGGUAAGGUAACGGCUUACCAAGGCAACGAUGCGUAGCCGACCUGAGAGGGUGACCGGCCACACUGGAACUGAGACACGGUCCAGACUCCUACGGGAGGCAGCAGUGGGGAAUCUUGCGCAAUGGGCGAAAGCUUGACGGAGCAACGCCGCGUGAGGGAUGAAGGUCUUCGGAUCGUAAAACUCUGUUAUUAGGGAAGAACAAAUGUGUAAGUAACUAUGCACGUCUUGACGGUACCUAAUCAGAAAGCCACGGCUAACUACGUG